rnacentral:rRNA from 1 species
UACAUGGGGUGCAAACGUUGCUCGGAAUUAUUGGGCGUAAAGAGCUCGUAGGCGGUUCGUCGCGUCGGCUGUGAAAAACCUGAGGCUCAACCUCAGGCCUGCAGUCGAUACGGGCGGACUUGAGUACUGCAGGGGAGACUGGAAUUCCUGGUGUAGCGGUGAAAUGCGCAGGAUAUCAGGAGGAACACCGGUGGCGAAGGCGGGGUCUCUGGG